rnacentral:tRNA from 1 species
UAAGGCGUAAGUUAUUGGUUAAAAUAUGAUAAGGGGCU